rnacentral:misc_RNA from 1 species
CUAUAAAUGGAUAAAAUUCUUUCCUGGUGUAUAUGAGUUCUUUAAAGUAAAGGAGCAAUUAGUUUUUUCUUGUGGUUAAUAUUGCUCCUUUAUUUAUUUUAUUUAUUUAGUACUUUUUUUUCAUUCUUCUAAGUUGUUUUAAUCCUUUCUUAUCUCUUAUCUCUUAGCAUAUGGAUUGGGUUAUAAAUAAAUAGUUUAUUGUAUUCAAUUUUCGUUCUUUUAUAUUUUAAAAAUAUUUAAAGGAAAGGGUGGAUGUAGCCAAGUGGAUCAAGGCAGUGGAUUGUGAAUCCACCAUGCGCGCCUGUGUGAAAU